rnacentral:rRNA from 1 species
UACGAAGGGGGCUAGCGUUGUUCGGAAUCACUGGGCGUAAAGCGCACGUAGGCGGAUGUGCCAGUCAGGGGUGAAAUCCCGGAGCUCAACUUCGGAACUGCCUCUGAUACAGCACGUCUUGAGUCCGGAAGAGGUGGGUGGAAUUCCUAGUGUAGAGGUGAAAUUCGUAGAUAUUAGGAAGAACACCAGUGGCGAAGGCGGCUCACUGGUCCGGUACUGACGCUGAGGUGCGAAAGCGUGGGGAGCAAACAGG